GAACAAUGGAUCCAGAGAGAUGUGAAGGAAGAGGUUGAGGACACUGGAGAGGAGGAGGAAGAGCAGUAGGGAGUUGAGGAAGAGGUGAAGAAAGAGGAAGAGUAGGAGGAGGAGGAGGAGGGGUAGGUAGAGGAGGAGGGGUAGGUAGAGGAGGAAGAGGAAAUGGAGAUGGAGGAGGAGACAACGAUGAGGAAGGGCAAGGAGACAAGCAGUCACACAUGAAAUUCAUGCCACUCUAGUUGGCCAUGUGCUUGCGCAUGGUAUGACUAUGAGGGAGGCUGAGCAAUGAGUACAACCAAACCUGAGUCGCUUCACCGUCACCUCAAUCAUAAGAACCUUCAGGAAGGAAAACCGGACACAGAGAUGACCAAGUGGUGGAGGAAGGCUAAAGCUUGUGUCAGAGGAGCAAGAGAGGGAGCUGGUAAAUAUGGUCAUUGCCAACAACGUCAUCGGCCUGUGAGAGAUUGAAAGGAGAGUGAUUGAAGACAAUCACCAAUUUCGAGGAAUAAAUGCCAUCAGCCUCUACACAAUUGAUCGCAUCCUCCGAAAGCACAGGUUCCAGAUUGAACACGUCUACUGUAUCCCUUUCAAACGAACUCUGAGUGAACGACUAACUUCUGGAAUAUGUUCAAAGAUUCUUGACCAAAAGAAGGAUGAAGGGGGAAGAACAUAAUUGGCCAUCGGGCUAUUCUUCAUGUCCCUGGCCAGCAAUAAGAGAACAUCACCAUGUGCACAGCCAUCAGCCAAGAGGGGUACUCCACUGCCAUGCCAUUCUUGGACCCCAUAACACUAUGCUCCUCCUUGGUUUCCUUGAUUGUCUAAGAGAGUGCCAUGGAAGAAGCCUGCCUAGACAUUUCAGUGGAUGCAUGCCAGGGGUGGGUCAGGCAUGCAAGAGGAUUUUACCCUUGCUGCCUGGCUAGGGCCAAUAUAGCCUGUGAUGCUGAGAUUCUCUUGCCUGUACCAGACCAAAGAUGGGAUGCUGGGGCAGAAUAAUUUUUUUGUUUGGUGUACUGUACAGUACCUUAAGGAAUAAAAAAUGUAGACAUUU